GGGUCGGUAGCUCAGUUGGUUAGAGCGCACCCCUGAUAAGGGUGAGGUCGGAGGUUCAAAUCCUCCUCGACCCA
rfam:Rhodobacteraceae bacterium HTCC2083 scf_1106200183017 genomic scaffold, whole genome shotgun sequence.